rnacentral:lncRNA from 1 species
AAUUACGGCACAUCCCUUGUUUCUGCAAGAGUAGAACCAUUCUAAAGUAAAAGCCCCGGCCUAUCCUAGACUUUUUGCAUUUAUCAAAAUGCAUAAGCAUCCGUUUAAACCUAGACCCAUUGUAGAGAAGAGGGAUUCCCCUACAUUUAAUCUCAAAAGAACGAUAGCUGCAUGGAGCAUGAAUAUCCUAGGGCAAAAUUGUAAUUCUGUUAACUCGACAGCUGAAGCUCUGAAUAGGCUUCGAAACAUCCCUUGGCAGCCCGACUACCUGAUGGCUGUUUUUGAUUUUGACAACCUCUACUCCUCUUUGUGGCUGGAGCC